ACGCUGGCGGCGUGCUUAACACAUGCAAGUCGAACGGAAAGGCCUGUACUUGUACAGGUACUCGAGUGGCGAACGGGUGAGUAACACGUGGGUGAUCUGCCCUGCACUAUGGGAUAAGCUUGGGAAACUGGGUCUAAUACCAUAUAGGACCACUUCUUGGAUGUUGUGGUGGAAAGCUUUUGCGGUGUGGGAUGAGCCUGCGGCCUAUCAGCUUGUUGGUGGGGUAAUGGCCUACCAAGGCGGCGACGGGUAUCCGGCCUGAGAGGGUGUACGGACACAUUGGGACUGAGAUACGGCCCAGACUCCUACGGGAGGCAGCAGUGGGGAAUAUUGCACAAUGGGCGCAAGCCUGAUGCAGCGACGCCGCGUGGGGGAUGACGGCCUUCGGGUUGUAAACUCCUUUCGCUAUCGACGAAGCCACCUUGGGUGGUGACGGUAGGUAGAUAAGAAGCACCGGCUAACUACGUGCCAGCAGCCGCGGUAAUACGUAGGGUGCAAGCGUUGUCCGGAAUUACUGGGCGUAAAGAGCUCGUAGGUGGUUUGUCGCGUCGUCUGUGAAAUCCCGGGGCUUAACUUCGGGCGUGCAGGCGAUACGGGCAUAACUUGAGUGCUGUAGGGGAGACUGGAAUUCCUGGUGUAGCGGUGAAAUGCGCAGAUAUCAGGAGGAACACCGAUGGCGAAGGCAGGUCUCUGGGCAGUAACUGACGCUGAGGAGCGAAAGCAUGGGUAGCGAACAGGAUUAGAUACCCUGGUAGUCCAUGCCGUAAACGGUGGGCGCUAGGUGUAGGGGGCUUCCACGUCUUCUGUGCCGUAGCUAACGCAUUAAGCGCCCCGCCUGGGGAGUACGGCCGCAAGGCUAAAACUCAAAGGAAUUGACGGGGGCCCGCACAAGCGGCGGAGCAUGUGGAUUAAUUCGAUGCAACGCGAAGAACCUUACCUGGGCUUGACAUAUACAGGAUUGGGCUAGAGAUAGUUCGUCCCUUGUGGUCUGUAUACAGGUGGUGCAUGGUUGUCGUCAGCUCGUGUCGUGAGAUGUUGGGUUAAGUCCCGCAACGAGCGCAACCCUUGUCUUAUGUUGCCAGCACGUGAUGGUGGGGACUCAUGAGAAACUGCCGGGGUUAACUCGGAGGAAGGUGGGGAUGACGUCAAAUCAUCAUGCCCC
rnacentral:rRNA from 1 species